rnacentral:rRNA from 1 species
GACGUAGGGCGCGAGCGUUGUCCGGAUUUAUUGGCGUGAAAGAGCUCGUAGGCGGUUGUCGCGUCUGCUGUGAAAACCCGAGGCUCAACCUCGGGCCUGCAGUGGGUACGGGCAGACUAGAGUGCGGUAGGGGAGAUUGGAAUUCCUGGUGUAGCGGUGGAAUGCGCAGAUAUCAGGAGGAACACCAAUGGCGAAGGCAGAUCUCUGGGCCGUGAACUGACGCUGAGGAGCGAAAGCAUGGGGAGCGAACAGG